rnacentral:siRNA from 1 species
GUGGUACUCAGAAUAAAUGGAUGG